UAUCUCUCCGUACGGGGAAGGAUGAGAAGCUUCGACUAAGGUUCGAUUCGAGCGCAGCGAGAAAGCGUUGCCGCAGGCAACGACCCGAAGGGCGAAGGGCGAAGCGCGCAGCGCUGAGUAAUCCUUCCCCCAUCACCA
rnacentral:sRNA from 1 species